rnacentral:lncRNA from 1 species
UAUGCUUGAAAACAUUGAGGACAAUGUUUGAUUUAAGUGUGGGGGGGUAACCAAAGUGUUUUGAUGCAAAUUCGUAGGGUUUUCUCACUCAUACUUCCCAAUGUUGUUUCUUGCUGUUUUUAGGUGUUUUUAAGCUGUUUUUGGUGUGUUUUAAAUGUGUUUUGAUUCAAAAAUCCGAAAAAUACCAUAAAAAUUUGAAAAAUUGUUUUAAAAAACCCAAAAAGAGUUGUUUUUGUGUGUUUGUUUGUGUCUUAGGGUACCUUCCAACACAAUGAUGAGGAUUCGGUUUUUAAUUGCAUGACUGUUAAAGAGAGUUAUAAACACAUGGAUGAAAGUUUGAUUUACUCUUGGUUUAUGCUUGGUUGUGGUUAUAACUUAUGAAUUCACAUGUAAUCAUAAAGAAAAAAAAUUAGUUUUUGUAACAUGUUUGAAGGAAGGAACUCAAACUAACGCUACAACCUUGUGAGACUUGAGCCUAAACAUUAUUUGGAGAGUUAAAAUCUGUGCAUUCUUGUUUUCUAAAGUCGUUGCAUGAUCUCAUUAUUCUUUGCUUGGUUAUUACUUAGAAGGCGUUUCAUCACUUUAGUUCCAAAUGCUAGAACUCAUGCCAAUUUCAUUCAAAACAUUUCAUUGAAUUGCAUAACACGUAUUCAAGAUGAAGUUGUUUAGUAGUUACCACCAUAGCCAAAAAGCCUUCAUUCCAUACAUUUGUUUUUGUAGGUUUUAGCCCCGUUGAGCCUUGUUUAGCCUAUAUUGUUUGUUAACCCACGUUAUCCUUACCUAGCCUAGAUUAGGACCAUCCAUACCCUUGUUCUUAAAAGCAUAGUAAGCAUGACUUAAAAUGAAUUCCUUUUGAUCAAGGGUGUGCAGAAAAACAAGUGUGGGGGAAAGUGAGCCUUGUGUAUUGUGUGCCAAAGUCUUAAAUGAGGCAUGGGGUAGAAAAGAAAAAGAAAAGAAAAAAAAAAUGUGAAAAGUGUGAAAAAGAGUUGAAAGAGCAUGAAAAUGAGCUCUAAGGUGUUGGUUGUUGAAGAAUGGGUCCAAAACAGUGAAUUUGACCUUAAGUGUUGCAUGAAUUUCCCCUUUGAGUUUAAAAGUUGAUUUUUGCAUUCAAAAGUGAAUUCUAAGUGUCAAUUUCAUUGCUUUGCUUACUAUUGUUUUAAGAACGUUUGUUUACCCUUCACCUUUCUUUGUUAGCCAAUACCCCAAGCCCCGUUACAACCCUUAACUUCUAUCUUGAGUGUUGUGUAUUUCAAUUUGUGGAGUUUGGGAUUGGUAUGAGCAUAUGGUGUCACUGGUUCUCGCAUCUAAGUAGUAGCAUUCCUUUCAUGAGAUCAUAUACAUGCUUAUUAAAUUCAGAAAAAGCUUUCCUUGUUAUAACAUAUGUGAGCAUUCGUUUUUAUAUUUACAUCAAUCUUCUCACAUAUAACUAGUAUAGGGUGUGUAGUCAGAAAAUCUGUGUGAAAAUUGAGUGCAUAUCUAGUGAGGAAUUGAGCAAAUUCUCUAAGGCAUGUUACUACAUUCAAAAUCAUGUUUUAAUUGGUUAAAUGUGAACUAGUACGUGGUGACUAUAAUUAAGUAUGUGCUUAAGUGUAAAGAUGGCUAAAAUCUGUGGGAAUGAUGAUUUUUAAUUUGUCAUGUGCAUUGGAAAUCCCUGAGGCGAUCGUUGGAAGGUUUAGGUUAUGUUUCGUUUUGUUUUUCUUUUGUUUCUUUGUUUUGCUCGAGGACUAGCAAAAGCUAAGUGUGGGGGAAUUUGAUAGGAGCAUAUUUAUGCGCCUUAGUUAGCUAGUUCUUAUGCAUUUUCGUUAUGUUUUCUUCGUUAAAGU